CAUAGACUUUAUUGCUGUUGCUAUAGCCCAGAUUAAAUACUUGAACAUACAAGAUUGCACAAGGUAUGAAAAGUAAUCACCUACAAAGUCAAGAGGAAACCAAUACAGCAGCAACCAUGACUGCCUGUAAGGCAACGUUUACAUUAUUUAAGGUAUUACGUUAUUUUAGGGAACUGAAAUUGUCAGAAAAAAAAAAAAGCAGAGAACUGAGUUUGUGAGUCAUAGUUUUCUAGGACUUCAGUGAUGGUCUCUACACAAAACUGAAGGUGAAGAACUGCACACAGAGUGAAAAUAGAGAGACAACAAGAGAGGGAGGCAGGGAGAUUUAUUUUCUCAUCCUCUGUGAGAUGUAUCCACUUCCAAGACUCUGUGUGGACAAGCAGCAGAAGGAGGUUACUCUGCAAGGGGAUCCAACCUCAUACCAGAUAUGGUAUGAGGGACAUGUACUUUGAGGAAUCUUUGAUUGUGCCAGUAUGCCUACCCUUUUGCACUUCCUUCAGGUUUUUCGUGCUGUACAGCCAUUGCCAUACUCCACAGCUAGGCUAUUAAUUUGAAGUUAACAAU